rnacentral:misc_RNA from 1 species
GAUGAAGAACGUAGCGAAAUGCGAUAAGUAAUGUGAAUAGCAGAAUUCAGUGAAUCAUCGAAUCUUUGAACGCACAUUGCGCCCGCCAGUAUUCUGGCGGGCAUGCCUGUCUGAGCGUCAUUUCAACCCUCAUGCCCCUAGGGCGUGGUGUUGGGGAUCGGCCAAAGCCCGCGAGGGACGGCCGGCCCCUAAAUCUAGUGGCGGACCCGUCGUGGCCUCCUCUGCGAAGUAGUGAUAUUCCGCAUCGGAGAGCGACGAGCCCCUGCCGUUAAACCCCCAACUUUCCAAGGUUGACCUCAGAUCAGGUAGGAAUACCCGCUGAACUUAAGCAUAUCAAUAAGCGGAGGA